rnacentral:rRNA from 1 species
UCAGGNCGAACGCUGGCGGCGUGCUUAACACAUGCAAGUCGAACGGAGUUUUGCGGAGAGCUUGCUCUCUGCAAGACUUAGUGGCGGACGGGUGAGUAACGCGUAGGCAAUCUGCCCGUAAGAGGGGGAUAACACCGGGAAACCGGUGCUAAUACCGCAUAACAUCACUGGGUUGCAUGACCCGGUGAUAAAAGGAGAAAUCCGCUUACGGAUGAGCCUGCGUCUGAUUAGCUGGUUGGCAGGGUAACGGCCUACCAAGGCGACGAUCAGUAGCCGGCCUGAGAGGGUGACCGGCCACACUGGAACUGAGACACGGUCCAGACUCCUACGGGAGGCAGCAGUGGGGAAUCUUCCGCAAUGGGCGAAAGCCUGACGGAGCAACGCCGCGUGAGUGAUGAAGGCCUUCGGGUUGUAAAACUCUGUCUUCAGGGAAGAAACAAAUGACGGUACCUGAGGAGGAAGCCACGGCUAACUACGUGCCAGCAGCCGCGGUAAUACGUAGGUGGCAAGCGUUGUCCGGAAUUACUGGGCGUAAAGAGCGCGUAGGCGGGAAUUUAAGUCAGGAGUGUAAACUGCCGGCUCAACCGGGAGCUUGCUUCUGAAACUGGAUUUCUUGAGGGUAUGAGAGGGAAGCGGAAUUCCUAGUGUAGCGGUGAAAUGCGUAGAUAUUAGGAGGAACACCAGUGGCGAAAGGCGGCUUCCUGGCAUACAACUGACGCUGAGGCGCGAAAGCGUGGGGAGCAAACGGGAUUAGAUACCCCGGUAGUNCACGCCGUAAACGAUGGGCACUAGGUGUAGGAGGUAUCGACCCCUUCUGUGCCGUAGUUAACACAAUAAGUGCCCCGCCUGGGGAGUACGGCCGCAAGGUUGAAACUCAAAGGAAUUGACGGGGGCCCGCACAAGCGGUGGAGUAUGUGGUUUAAUUCGACGCAACGCGAAGAACCUUACCAGGGCUUGACAUCCUCUGACAGCGUAUGAAAGUACGNNUUCGGGCUUCGGUUCGACAGAGAGACAGGUGGUGCAUGGUUGUCGUCAGCUCGUGUCGUGAGAUGUUGGGUUAAGUCCCGCAACGAGCGCAACCCCUAUCUUUAGUUGCCAUCAGGUGAAGCUGGGCACUCUGGAGAGACUGCCGGUGACAAACCGGAGGAAGGUGGGGAUGACGUCAAAUCAUCAUGCCCCUUAUGUUCUGGGCUACACACGUACUACAAUGGCCGGUACAAUGGGCGGCGAAGGAGCGAUCCGGAGCAAAUCCCAUCAAAGCCGGUCCCAGUUCGGAUUGCAGUCUGCAACUCGACUGCAUGAAGGCGGAAUCGCUAGUAAUCGCAGGUCAGCAUACUGCGGUGAAUACGUUCCCGGGCCUUGUACACACCGCCCGUCACACCACGAAAGUCGGCAACACCCGAAGCCGGUGAGCCAACCGUAAGGAGGCAGCCGUCGAAGGUGGGGUCAAUGAUUGGGGUGAAGUCGUAACAAGGUA